rnacentral:tRNA from 1 species
GGCCCUGUGGCCUAAUGGAUAAGGCAUCAGCCUCUGAAGCUGGGGAUUGUGGGUUUGAAUCCUGCCAGGGUUGCA